rnacentral:rRNA from 1 species
AUUGAACGCUGGCGGCAUGCCUUACACAUGCAAGUCGAACGGCAGCACGGGGGCAACCCUGGUGGCGAGUGGCGAACGGGUGAGUAAUACAUCGGAACGUGCCCAGUAGUGGGGGAUAGCCCGGCGAAAGCCGGAUUAAUACCGCAUACGACCUACGGGUGAAAGCGGGGGACCGCAAGGCCUCGCGCUAUUGGAGCGGCCGAUGUCAGAUUAGGUUGUUGGUGGGGUAAAGGCCUACCAAGCCGACGAUCUGUAGCUGGUCUGAGAGGACGACCAGCCACACUGGGACUGAGACACGGCCCAGACUCCUACGGGAGGCAGCAGUGGGGAAUUUUGGACAAUGGGGGCAACCCUGAUCCAGCCAUGCCGCGUGCGGGAAGAAGGCCUUCGGGUUGUAAACCGCUUUUGUCAGGGAAGAAAUCCCUUGAGCUAAUACCUCGGGGGGAUGACGGUACCUGAAGAAUAAGCACCGGCUAACUACGUGCCAGCAGCCGCGGUAAUACGUAGGGUGCAAGCGUUAAUCGGAAUUACUGGGCGUAAAGCGUGCGCAGGCGGUCGUGCAAGACAGAUGUGAAAUCCCCGGGCUCAACCUGGGAACUGCAUUUGUGACUGCACGGCUGGAGUGCGCAGAGGGGGAUGGAAUUCCGUGUAGCAGUGAAAUGCGUAGAUAUGCGGAGGAACACCGAUUGGCGAAGGCAAUCCCCUGGCUGCACUGACGUCAUGCACGAAAGCGUGGGGAGCAACAGGAUUAGAUACCCCUGGUAGUCCACGCCCUUAAACGAUGUCAACUGGUUGUUGGGAAGGUUCCUUCUCAGUAACGUAGCUAACGCGUGAAGUUGACGCCUGGGGAGUACGGCCGCAAGGUUGAAACUCAAGGAAUUGACGGGGACCCGCACAAGCGGUGGAUGAUGUGGUUUAAUUCGAUGCAACGCGAAAAACCUUACCUACCCUUGACAUGCCUGGAAUCCUGCAGAGAUGUGGGAGUGCCCGAAAGGGAGCCAGGACACAGGUGCUGCAUGGCCGUCGUCAGCUCGUGUCGUGAGAUGUUGGGUUAAGUCCCGCAACGAGCGCAACCCUUGUCAUUAGUUGCUACGAAAGGGCACUCUAAUGAGACUGCCGGUGACAAACCGGAGGAAGGUGGGGAUGACGUCAGGUCCUCAUGGCCCUUAUGGGUAGGGCUACACACGUCAUACAAUGGCCGGUACAGAGGGCUGCCAACCCGCGAGGGGGAGCUAAUCCCAGAAAACCGGUCGUAGUCCGGAUCGCAGUCUGCAACUCGACUGCGUGAAGUCGGAAUCGCUAGUAAUCGCGGAUCAGCUUGCCGCGGUGAAUACGUUCCCGGGUCUUGUACACACCGCCCGUCACACCAUGGGAGCGGGUUCUGCCAGAAGUAGUUAGCCUAACCGCAAGGAGGGCGAUUACCACGGCAGGGUUCGUGACUGGGGUG